AUUCAGGUAAUUUAAUUUUAAAAUUUCGAUUUGUGGAUUCGAAUAUGCAAUUUAAUUGUUCUGGGUA
rnacentral:tRNA from 1 species